GGAAAGGAGCAGGCAAACCUUGAAAGAGACUUUUCCAGGCUAACAUGAUUUCUUCUUUUUUGAAAAAAUCUCCAAGGGAUGUUCAACGCAUGGCCCCAUCUGGCAUGACACGAUAAGGCAAGCCUCUUGGAAGGAUUAAGGUUAUCUAAAGCUCCAGCAGAAGGCUGCCGCAACUGAGGACUGGCUGUUGGGUGCCCUGGAAUUUCUUCUGUGCGAAACGUUAUGGGAAGCAUGGGCCAUUUUCCCACAAGUGAGGUCAACAGCUCCGUUGGUAUUCGGAUACAAGUCUGAACAUUGUUAAGGUGGGACAGGAGGAAGAGGGUAAUUAGCAAACUGGGUGUAUAUCCUAGCUCACCAGAUGAAGACUGGUAGUCAUAUUAUGCAAAUAGGAAAUAACCAAACUAACAAGAGUCUUUGAACCCAAAGCCUUUCUACACUGUAUUUACAGCGUGCACACAACAGAAGCUGUUUGGCACAGUGUCAUGACAUUAGGAGGAGGAGUAAGGGGAUAAACAAAGAUUACACUCCACUGUAGGGAUGCAUCUCUAAAUGUUACCCAAUAGACUAUGGUUCUGUAUAGUAAUACUUCACACUGGGGGACUGAGGAAUGCAUCUUUGUACAUGCAUCCUUAGACUACAUUUCUGGUAGACAAAUAAAAUAAUACAAAGAGCAGAGGUAUGGAUUUUCUUUUUGUUAAGGUGACUAUGGCAAUGUUAUAACUUAUUUAUAUAACCAAAUAAAAAUAUUUUAAAAAUACAUUUCUGGUAGACUAAGUUUCAUAGGUACCACUCCAGUGGGAAGGUAACGGUGCUCCAUGCAGUCAUGCCAGCCACAUGACCUUGGAGACGUCUACAGACAACACCAACUCUUUGGCUUAGAAAUGGAGAUGAGCACCAACCCCCAGAGUCGGACACGACUAGACUUAAUGUCAGGGGAAAACUUUUACCUUUACUAAGGUUCAUCUAUACCUGUGGUUACCCAACCUUUCUUUGACCAGGGACCACUUUGACCAGGGAUCGCUCUCCAACAUUAGUAGCAAAAGGAUUAUGAAUCAGUUUUUGGUGAACUUUAGAUACAGUCUGGUUAUUUGGGUUGCUGAUUCAGAAAAUUGCAUUGGACAGACCACAUCAGUUCUAGUUUCUGAUACAGAACAUAUGCCAUCCAGUAGUCGCCAUCUGCUCACUCACAGAAAACCAUAUUUAAUAAUCUAGAGCUGAUGUGGUCUAUCCAAUGCAGUUUUCUGAAUCAGCACCCCAGAUAAUCCCAGGAACAGGCAUGAAAUGAAGACACCAAGGCUCUCCUGCUUCCAGGUGCCACAUGGAACUGCUCCACUCAGGGGGAGGGAGGGAGGAGGAGAAGCAACAGUCAGGAGGUUUGUUGUCACAUCUUUCGUGGGUAGUCACUCAGCCUCUCCCCUCCCGACAUCCCAGUUGCCUUGGCACUAUAAGAGGGUUUUGCAAGACCAGUCACUCUUUUUGCAAUGUUGUAGUAAUGGUGAGGUCGUGGACCAUAUUUUAGUUCUUGGAGACCACUGGUGGUCCAUGGACCUCAGGUUGGGAACCACUGAUCUAUACUGUAGAAAUAAUGCCAUUGGUUACUGCUUUGGCUCAUUGCUGUGGAAUUGUAAGAACUGCAGUUUUACAUGGUCUUUUGCCUUCUCUCCCAAAUAGUUCUGAUAUUUCACCAUAGUACAACUCCCAAGAUUCCAUAGCAUUGAGCCAUGGCAAUUAAAGUGGUGCCAAACUAUUAAUUCUGUAGUGUAGAUGCACCCUAAAAUUCUCUUUGAAUGUUCCCCAAUAGAUCUAAGAUUCUGGACAAUAUCAUUUCAAAUUGGAUGUGGGAGGAGACUCAAAGCAGCUUAACAUAAAAGCAGUAGCAUACAAUUUAAAAUAUACAAAUAUUUUGAAACAGAAUUCAAUAUAAACCCUAUUUAAAAAUUCACAGCUAAAAACCAUUAAAACAUAUUCAAAGUUCUUUGAAUGUACCCCAAUUGAGUCACAGAAUCCUAGAGUUGGAAGGGGCCUCAUGGACCAUUGAGUCCAAUCCCAUGUUCAAUGCAGGAUCUCCAGCUAAAGCAUUCCCAAGCAGAUAGCUGUCUAGUAGCUUCCAGACUGAAGUUUUGGUGAAGACCACUUCAGAUCAGAGGUGGGGGAUUGUAGCUUUGAAUAUUCUUAAGUACACAAGUUCUGGAGAAGACCACAUCAACUUGGUAGCAGGGGACUGCCUUUUUGGAUGACUCCUUGUAUACUAGCAAUGGUUGAUAACUCUCCUGAAAUAUAGCAAACAAUCAUAUUGGAGAGUGGGCUAUGAUAUCAAUUUCUCUCAUACAUGGUAACCUUGUUUUGGUGUUUUCAUUUUUAGUCUGAAGGUGUAUUACCAUCACCCUAUAAUCCUUAUUAUAACCUUUGUUCUUUGUUCAGUCUUCCCACCCCACAUCAGAGAUAGGAAAUGUUGGCCCUCUCCUAUGUCGGAAUAUAGAUCCCACAAUCACUGAUAGGAAUGGUAGGUCAAAACUUUGCGGGGACCAAAAUGUUCCCAUCCCAUUCUCAACAAUGUGUAGGGUGGUUGCUUAAUCAUUGUGUGAGAAUCAAACUUGACAGAAGUUAACACAUGAAGCAGAGGAGACAUUGUGGUUUCUGAGUAUUGUUUGUUUAUUUUUGAGGCAACUUGUCCAAGGUCAUUAAAUGAGAUUUAUGGAAAAGAGCCUUGAUCUGAAAUUCAGGAUCUCAUAUGCAUUACUUUAUUCCAAAAAUGCCAGUGAAUAUGUACAAAAUAUGCAGCACCCAGUGGGCAUGUGUGUGUAUAUCAUUUGAAAGAACUGUAUUUUUUAAUGUAAUAUCAUUGAAUACUCAAGCUCAUGUGCUGAAAUGAAAUCCUUGUUAAGAAAAACAGCCAAUAGUCUAAUUUUUUCUGCCACUUGACAGGACAUACACCACUCAUUUCCAUCUAGUAAUCUUCUUUUAAAACAGUGUAAUGUAUCUACUAUGUUGGUUUUGUAAAAAAAACAAAAAAACCCCUGUAUGGUAAAUUGUGUUUCUCCUUUCCACUGUUUUUUGGAGGAACACUUCUACAGGGUCAGCCCAUAGGACACCUAGCCAAAUAUUGGCUAUACCAGACCUAUUCUUGAUCUGCAUGUUCUUUGAUAGUGAGGACAUCGGUUUCCAGGUGGAAAGCGGUUCCUGUCAGGGUCGGCUUAAUGCGCCUUCCUCUUGACAUUUCUCCUUUUCAUCUUCCAUUCUUGCCUCCACAGCACUGCUGGUCACAGCUGACCUCCAGUUAGAACACACAAGGGCCAGGGUUUCCAGUUCUCAGUGUCUAUGCCACAAUUUUUAAGGUUAGCUUUAAGCCCAUCUUUUCCUGUCCGCCAGCAUUUUGUUUCCCGUUCUUGAGUUGGGAAUAUAGUAACUGCUUUGGGAGAUGGUGAUCGGGCAUUCGGACAAUGUGGCCAGUCCAGCGGAGCUGAUAGCAUAGGAGCAUCGCUUCAAUGCUGGUGGUCUUUGCUUCUUCCAGCACGCUGACAUUUGUCCGUCCGUCUUCCCAGUUGUAGUUGUGGACUACAACUUCCAUCACCCCAUCGGUACUAAUGACUAUAAUGAGUGGAUAAUAAUAAUAAUAAUAAUAAUAAUAAUAAUAAUAAUAAUAAUACAGUUCUAGACACUUGGGAAGUGUUCGACUUGUGAUUUUGUGAUAUGAAAUCCAGCAUGACUAUCUUGUUUGCUGUGUCAUACAAUAAUAAUAAUAAUAAUAAUAAUAAUAAUAAUAAUAAUAAUAAUAAUAAUAACAACAACAACAACUUUAUUUUUAUAGCCCGGCACCAUUCACCAUGUGAAUGUGGUGGAAGUUGUAAUCUAAUGCCACAAAAAUCUGGUCUGAACAAUUAUUUCCAGAAUUUCAGAAUAGGAAUCUUUCUCAACUCUAUGUGGAAAUACUAGCAAUUGAACUUUUUGCCUGUACAGACUGUGCUCUUCUAUAGCCAUGCUUACAAACUAGGGAACUCAUUGCUAUAAAUCUGAAAUCUGAGGAUAGUAAUUCCUUCAGAGGAAUUAUCUCCGAUUUCCAGGUUGAAAUCUUGUGCAUGACAUAACUCCUGUAUAAAGGGGAUGUUGUUUGUAUAGCCAUUAACUGUCUGAUUAAAAUAUAUGCAUUUAUGACCGUGUACCUUCAUUAGCAGUCUUGACUGUUGGAAGGCUUCUUGUACAUCUGAUAAUUUUGCUGCAGCAGUUCAUUAGAAGCAUCAGGCAACACUACCAGGUAAGAUGGAAGCACGGGUCUGACUUACAGUGAACCUAUCAUAGGAUUUUAAUGGUAAGAUUUAUUCAGAGGAGGUUUGCCAGUAUCUUCUUCUAAGCUUGAAAAAGGCUGUGAUUUGCCCAAAGUCACCCAGUAAAUUCUGUGACUGAGCAGGAACUUCAGCCCUGGUUUUUUUUAGAGUAGAGCCCUAGCCUGAUGAAGAAGUGGAAGAUACAUGUGACAAUAAAGAAGAUGACCUUGGAGCUGUGGAAGAGCAAUGCAGUGUCAUCUUACAUCUUCUGUCUUAACUCAAACUUGCUAUGGACUUAACAAGAGUGGUUUUACCCACUUUUAUUUUAGAGAAACACUAAAAUGCUGUUUGGAAAAAACAACAACAUAGGGAGCAUUCAGACAACUAAAACACCCUGAAACAAAAGGGGCACUUUUUAUGAUAGAAGAGGGGUUGGAAUUGUGCAUUCCUCCACAUCUUGUUCAACUAUAACACUAGGUAAAGGUUUACCCUUGACACUAAGUCUAGUUAGGUCUGACUCUGGACUCUAUUUCUAAGCCGAAGAGCCAGCAUUGGCCGGCAUGAUUGCAUGGAGCACCACUACCUUCCUGUCUGAGUGGUACCUAUUGAUCUACUCACAUUUGCAUGUUUUCGUACUGCUAUGUUGGCAGAAGCUGGGGCUAACGAUGGGAGCUCACCCCGCUCAAUGGAUUUGAACCACUGACCUUUGGGUCAGCAAGUUCCGAAGCUCAGCGGUUUAACCUGCUGCGCCACCGUGGCCCCUAUGUAACUAUAACACUAUGUAACAAAAAUGGAAAAAAAUCUGUUGCUGGUUUGAAAGUGUUACAGUAUUUCCUAUUUACUUGUGCAGUACUUACUUUGAAACUAGCUGUUACACUGCAGAAACUUUGUUUUUGUGGCUGCCACAAAAUAUGCUGAAUUGGUUGAGACUCUAGGAGAUAUUCAUUGAAAAACUAUAGCAAAAUGUGCUGCAGGAUGUUCUGCAAAAACGAACGUUUUUGCAGUUUAAUGAUAGAACCAAUUAGCAAAUUACAUAGUGGCAUCAACAUCAACAGCCAACACGCUGUUACAUAGUGGCAUCAACAUCAACAGCCAACACGCUGUUGAUGAGGAAUGCUAGGAGUUACAGCCCUAUAUAAUCUGAAGAUUCGCACAAAUCCUAUCCCUGUUCCUUAGACUCCUUCCACACAGAAGAAUAAAAUCGUACUAGUGGUACCAGAAUAUUCUCCUUUGUUUUUAUGUUCAGAACAUUACCAUCACACUUCAAAUAACCAGUGAUGGUCAACUAUCCUUCGUCUUUUCUAUAGCACUCUCGAAAGAUACUUUUUGAACUACAACACCAGACUGGGGGCUUCUGGGAAAUGUAGUAUAGAAAAGAUAACCUUUCUAAAUUCUGUCUCUUUAACUACUUUGCUUUCUUUCCUGCAUCACAGACUCCCCUCCUCACACUCCCAAAAAAAUCAAAGUGGAAAUGUCCAAUGGAUUUUGCCUCCAGGCAGAUAAUGACUUGAGUUUUGCCUGCACUUGUUCUACAUUCUGCAGCAUAGUUGGCUGUCUGACCUUCCAAACAUGAAAUCCAUUCACCUAAAUAGCUUAGUUUAUUUCCAGUAUAAGUUGGUGGGAGGUGGGUAUGGCUGGGUAAGGGAAAGUUUUACUAGUUUUGGAAGUCAGUUGACUAGUUGCAAUGCAAAGAAAAAAAUAUCAUCUAGAAAAGUCGACAGAGAUAAAACAUCACAAUGCCAGACAGGAAAAGGAAAUGGAACAGGUAUACAGGCAAUCCCCGAGUUACAAACAUCUGACUUACAAAUGACUCAUAGUUAAGAAUGAGGGUGAGACAACAUGAAGAGAAAUCUUUCCCUAGGAAGGGAAAUUCAUGGGGAAAAGGUGUCUCUGCUAAAGCUUUCUCACCAAUCCACAACAAGCCAAAUUUUCCAAAAUCCAAUUAUCACAGGGAUAGAAAGUGAAGUGAAAUCUUCUGAAAUAUUAACCCUAAACAUGUGUUUUUCAUUUCAGAACACACUGCAUUUCCUGAAGCUGUUCAAUAAACACUUUGCUGUA